GGUGCAUUAGUAUAAUGGCUAUUAUUCGUGACUGUCUAUCACAGGAUACGGGUUCGAUUCCCGUAUGUACCGCCA
rnacentral:tRNA from 1 species